rnacentral:rRNA from 1 species
AACGAACGCUGGCGGCAUGCCUAACACAUGCCAGUCGAACGAGACCUUCGGGUCUAGUGGCGCACGGGUGCGUAACGCGUGGGAACCUGCCCUUAGGUUCGGAAUAACUCCCCGAAAGGGGUGCUAAUACCGGAUAAUGUCUACGGACCAAAGAUUUAUCGCCUUUGGAUGGGCCCGCGUUGGAUUAGCUAGUUGGUAGGGUAAAAGCCUACCAAGGCGACGAUCCAUAGCUGGUCUGAGAGGAUGAUCAGCCACACUGGGACUGAGACACGGCCCAGACUCCUACGGGAGGCAGCAGUGGGGAAUAUUGGACAAUGGGCGAAAGCCUGAUCCAGCAAUGCCGCGUGAGUGAUGAAGGCCUUAGGGUUGUAAAGCUCUUUUACCCGGGAUGAUAAUGACAGUACCGGGAGAAUAAGCUCCGGCUAACUCCGUG